GGUUCAACUUCCAACACUCUGAAGUCUCAACCAUUUACUCUUCAUUUUGAUUGUGAAGCCAUCCUCUGUGCGCUUGCAACUAUCCUUGACGGCGUUGCCGGAGCUCACGGUGGUGCGUUUGCCACUGACAGCGCCGGAGAGUGUAGUAUGGACCGGUGGAGAUAACAGCAGGGGCGGACCCACAGCAAGCCCAGGGGUUCAGUUGAACCCCUGAAAAAAAAAAAAAUUCAACUUACCCCCCUAUAAUAUUUGUAUAAUAUUUGUUUUUUGAACCCCCUGAGUUUUUAGAUUUGCACCCAGACCCUCCACUUACUCCUCUCUCACACACUUGCCUUGCCUCUGAUACUCACGACUCACGCUCUCAAGUCUCACUCUCACGAAUUAAUUCACGCUCACCAACCAGUCAGUCACCACGCCCAGACGACGCCCUCACCCUCUCCGCCUCUCGCACCCUCAUCACGGCACGGCGACACCACCACCGACCACCACCACGCCACGCCACGCCUCGCCUUCCCUUCCCUUCGUAUGCAGAAUAUCACAUGCUACCUCUGGUAACCUGGUUACACAACUUGUAAGUAUGGAUGAUUGAUGAAAUUCAGAAUUAGAGGGUGAAAUAAGAGAAUCAGGAAACAGUGGAGGCAUGGCUUUGGUGUUACAAUUAUAAGUGGGAGAUGAUUUGGCAAAUAUUUUUUCUUGGAUAUGUACAUCUGUAUUAUCAUCUUUGUGUUUAUACUGGAUAUGGUUGGGCAAAGUCAUUAUAAAUAGAAAAAUAGAACCCGACGCGGUCUAAGCCCCGGGACGGACCCCAACCGAAAGAAAGGCGCUAGACGGACUAACGGCAAGCGAGAUAAAGAAAGCUGCUUUAUCGUUGAAACUUUCAACUCUGUAGCUUGGCAUUCCUAUCUCCACCGGUACCACUGUAUAGAUUGUAUCUUGUACUUUAGGGGUGAAGCACCCCUUGUGCUUCUUAUUAAUAUAUUUCUUUUGGCCUUUUCAAAAAAAAUGUAUAUCAACUCUGUAAUUGCAGUUUUAGCUAUUUUCCUCUGUUGUGUGUUUGCAGCCUUGCUGCUGCUUUGUACCUCUCCCUCUGUGUCUUAUUUUUUCUUUGUUGCUUACUUGUAAUCUUUGGGAUGGCACCCGUUGUGCCUUUUUAUUAUAUCAUUGGUUUACAAAAAAAAAGCUGGAUAUGUCUAUUUUUUUCCCUAUUUUUUUUUCCCUAAUUCUUGUUGUGUGAAGCUUGAUUUCCCAAAUUCAUGAGAUAUAUUAAGAAUUAUAGUUAUGGUCUAUUUUUAUUUUUAAUUAUAUUUUUAUCGAUGUGCUUAUUUGAAAAUUUUGAACCCCUGACCUCGGGGUCCUGGAUCCGCCACUGGAUAACAGUCCAAUGGUAAUUCCCACGGUGGUGUGUUUGCCAUUGCCACCGUAUCGUUCUUCACUGCAUUUGCAAUUUCCACACUCUUCUUCCACUCUGCAUCGCAUUCCUUCAAUUCGAAGCUCUCUGCAUCGCAAUGGCAAUUGCAUUGUUGUGGCUGCGAAACCUCUGGCCUUUCAAAUUCGACGAACUGAGAGCUUCGAAGCGAAUCGUGAGAAAACUCAACAUCACCGAACACAUGCAGCAGUUCGUGUUUGCAGUUCGCGACCCCGAAACCCAAUCCAUCAUCUACAUACUCUCCACUCUCAACCUCUCCGAACGAUCAGUCUCCGACGCGCAAUGCCUCAUCAGAGAAAUCAAACCCGACGCUGUUGUGGUUCAAGCUGGUCUUUCUCCCUUCUCACAGAUUCAAUCCGAAGAAGAAGACUAUAACCCGGUACCCAUUUCUUCUUUUGGUGUGAUUAAACGUUGUUUUGUUGAUAAGAUUGGUAGUGAUAAGUUUGAGAGUGUUGCUGGGAAUUUUGUGCUCAGGGAAAUUUUUGGGACCAGUUUUCAUGGUCCCUUGUUGGCGGCUAAGAAGGCUGCUCAUGAUGUUGGAUCCUCUUUCAUUGUCAUUGUCUCGCCGUUAGGGAAGACUUGUUGGGGUAGCACUAGUAGUAAUGAUAAUGGUGAUGGUGGCGGCGGCAGUGGUGAUAAUUCUGGUGGGGUUGAUGGUGGUGGAACCCGUUUACAACGCAUUGUUAGUAGUUUGGUUCCUCAGUAUAAGGAUACCCUUUUGCUUGGUAAUAGCAAUAAGGCUAAUGCUGUUAUGGAGGAUGGUUAUGUGGAAAUUCAGCCAACAACUAGUUAUGAGACCCCGGCUUUUGCCAAGUGUAUAUACCCUUUACUUGAGGACUUGUGUUUUAUAUUUUCCAAUAUUCCGUUGAUGGGGAAGGCGCUCGCACAUGUGCAGAAGAUGCUGCUGGAUGUGAAAAGAGGGGAGGUUCUUGACAUCAGAACUGUUUCUGAGGUGUAUACUUUCCGAAUUGCCGUUGAGGGGCUGAGAGUAGCUCUGAAUAAUAGGGGGUUGCGGCCAAUUGGUGGUUGCAAGUCAAGUAAGAUUGAGUUCUCGGAGCUUCCGGUUGAUGACAAGACACAUGUGCUCUUUGCACAGGCCAUCCGUAGCCAGAAUGACAAGUUCAAGACCAUUGUGGCAGUGGUGGAUUCUAGUGAACUAGCAGGUCUUAGGAAACACUGGGAUACUCCUCUUCCUGGAGAAGCAAAAGAGCUGGUUGGAUAGCUGAUCAAGAAUUAUGAAGGUGAAGGGGUUGAUGUAAAUCAAAGUGACAGGAAGCGGUUGUUAACGGGUAAACCUGUGGUGACAUUUGAGGCUGGUGCGACUGCAGUUUUAGGAGUUUCAUCUCUGACCAAAGGAGUUCCUGCAUCAACACUGAUGAAGGUUGUUACUUUCAAAACUCCAGCUUCAGUCAAGAUUGCUCUCCUCCAGAUGGAGAAAGCAUUGGCUUUUGUUUUUGGCCCAUCUAAAGUUGUUGCUCCAGGAUUCGCAACUUCUGGAGUGAAAACCUCUGGUAUCCUGAAGACAGCUAUAUCUGCUGAAAAGAUUCGAGCCGUUACUCACAGUGUUAUAGCCUCUGCUGAAAAAACCAGUAUUUCAGCUAUGAGAACAGCAUUCUAUGAAAUAAUGAGGAAGCGAAAAGGGCAGCCCGUUGGGUUCUUGCCUUGGGCUACAUUUGCAGGCAGUGUUGGAACUUGCACAGGCUUGUUUUUGUAUGGUGAUGGGAUUGAGUGCGCUGUUGAAUCUCUCCCUGCAGCUCCCUCAAUUGCAAGUUUGGGUCGUGGAAUUCAACAUCUACGUGAAGCAUCUCAAGCAGUGAUGCAACAGAAGGAACUAGAAUCCAAAUAUCAAUAGAAUCUCUAGUUAACAGAAUAAAGAAGGCAAAGGAUCAAUAGAUAUACAAUAUAAUUCUUGGUCAUUGAUCAUCCUAAAUUAGGCUAUGCUUUUUCCUUGAUCAUCAUUAUCCUUUGCACCAUUGCGGCAAUGUAUCUCUCUCUCUCUCUCUGUGUGUGUGUGUGUGGAUAGUCUCAUUCUUGCACUCUUCCAGGAGAGCCUCAUGGCUACUCUAAAUUAGUCUGUGCUUUGUCCUUGAUCACCCUCACCCUUUGCUCCAUUGUGGCAAUGUAUCUGUGCAUGUGUUAUGGCUAUUUCUAAAUUAGUCUAUGGCUCUAUGCUUUGUCCUUGAUCAUCCUUAUCCUUUGCACCAUUGCGGCAAUGUAUCUGUGUGUGUACUCCCUAAGCAUGUGUUUUGGAUAUUUGAGAGCUGGAUGCACACACUGGACUACGUUGUCAGUCGGCUUAUUGCUAAGCAGAUCAUUGGAAUUUAGUUUGCCAUCAGAUGUUCAAAAUGACAUUGAUAAUGUUAAGAAAUUCAGCACUGCUGCUGAUUAUCUUUCCAAGAAGACUCAAGAUAAUUCAAAGAUGUUACUCCGAGCCAUAGAUGGAAUGUAAGUGCAGGUUUAAAAAUUUUAAUUAUAUUUUUCAAUGUGUUUUGCUAACAAUCAUCUGUUAUGCUCUGUAGGAGAUUAGCUCUUAUUAUUGUUGCUGCAGUUAUACUCUUUGUUGCAUUUCUCGGAUUCUCUAUAUUGUUUCUUGUUUACUUCCUCUGUGCUAAAGGCUUACCAAAAUAUAAUCUCAUUUGUCAUUUUAAUUGUGUGAAAACUUUUUUUGCAGCAUUUUCAAUACUUGGGUUGUAGUGUCCUUGUAAGCUGAAGCCUGAAUUCAUUGAGCUAUUUUCAUUUACUCCCCUUGUUGGAUAAAUUAUUGAUGGGCUUUGUGUCUGCAGCUUGCUAGUUGUUGGAUGGAUUCUUGUUGCUGGCACAUUUAUACUUUGUGGUGCAUUUUUUUUCUUCAUAAGUUCAUGUGCGCCAGUCUUAUUUUUAUCCAAUUUAUACUUUUGAAUGAUCCGAACUCAUUGCAUUAUACUUGUAAUGAAACACUUUGCAAUUGCAUGUUCAUAAUAGGAGCCUUACUUUCCUGCAUUUUUCUGCACUAGUAGUGCCAUUGCAGAUACAUCAUACAUCAUACAUGUGUUGUUAAGGUUCUAAAUAUUAGGGGUUUAUUUUAUAUAUAUUUUUUAGUUUAAGAGUCUAUCUUUUAUUUUAGGAGUUGAUCUUUUAUUUUGGUCGGGUCAUUUUUUAGAUUAAGACUAUCUUUUAUUUUAGGA